rnacentral:hammerhead_ribozyme from 1 species
AUGUAGCUGAUGAGUACCAGAUAGGACGAAACGCGCGUCCUAGAU